UACGUAGGGUGCGAGCGUUAAUCGGAAUUACUGGGCGUAAAGCGUGCGCAGGCGGUUCUCCAAGUCCGUUGUGAAAGCCCCGGGCUCAACCUGGGAAUGGCAGUGGAAACUAGGGGACUGGAAUCUGGCAGAGGGGGGUGGAAUGCCCCGUGUAGCAGUGAAAUGCGUAGAGAUGCGGCGGAACACCGAUGGCGAAGGCAGCCCCCUGGGCUGAGAUUGACGCUCAGGCACGAAAGCGUGGGGAGCAAACAGG
rnacentral:rRNA from 1 species